AGAGUUUGAUCCUGGCUCAGGAUGAACGCUGGCGGCGUGCUUAACACAUGCAAGUCGAACGAUGACUUUUGUGCUUGCACAAAAUGAUUAGUGGCGAACGGGUGAGUAACACGUGAGUAACCUGCCCUUAACUUCGGGAUAAGCCUGGGAAACCGGGUCUAAUACCGGAUACGACGGAUUCCCGCAUGGGGGUCCGUGGAAAGCUUGAUGCGGUUUUGGAUGGACUCGCGGCCUAUCAGCUAGUUGGUUGGGGUAAUGGCCCACCAAGGCGACGACGGGUAGCCGGCCUGAGAGGGUGACCGGCCACACUGGGACUGAGACACGGCCCAGACUCCUACGGGAGGCAGCAGUGGGGAAUAUUGCACAAUGGGCGAAAGCCUGAUGCAGCGACGCCGCGUGAGGGACGAAGGCCUUCGGGUUGUAAACCUCUUUCAGCAGGGAAGAAGCGAAAGUGACGGUACCUGCAGAAGAAGCGCCGGCUAACUACGUGCCAGCAGCCGCGGUAAUACGUAGGGCGCAAGCGUUAUCCGGAAUUAUUGGGCGUAAAGAGCUCGUAGGCGGUUUGUCGCGUCUGCUGUGAAAGCCCGGGGCUCAACCCCGGGUCUGCAGUGGGUACGGGCAGACUAGAGUGCAGUAGGGGAGACUGGAAUUCCUGGUGUAGCGGUGAAAUGCGCAGAUAUCAGGAGGAACACCGAUGGCGAAGGCAGGUCUCUGGGCUGUAACUGACGCUGAGGAGCGAAAGCAUGGGGAGCGAACAGGAUUAGAUACCCUGGUAGUCCAUGCCGUAAACGUUGGGCACUAGGUGUGGGGGACAUUCCACGUUUUCCGCGCCGUAGCUAACGCAUUAAGUGCCCUGCCUGGGGAGUACGGCCGCAAGGCUAAAACUCAAAGGAAUUGACGGGGCCCGCACAAGCGGUGGAGCAUGUGGUUUAAUUCGAAGCAACGCGAAGAACCUUACCAGGUCUUGACAUCCCGCUGACCGGCCUAGAGAUAGGCUUUUCCCUUCGGGGACAGCGGUGACAGGUGGUGCAUGGUUGUCGUCAGCUCGUGUCGUGAGAUGUUGGGUUAAGUCCCGCAACGAGCGCAACCCUUGAUCUUAGUUGCCAGCAUUCAGUUGGGCACUCUAAGGUGACUGCCGGUGAUAAACCGGAGGAAGGUGGGGAUGACGUCAAAUCAUCAUGCCCCUUAUGACCUGGGCUACACACGUGCUACAAUGGACGGUACAGAGGGUCGCAACCCCGCGAGGGUGAGCAAAUCCCAUAAAACCGUUCUCAGUUCGGAUUGUAGGCUGCAACUCGCCUACAUGAAGCCGGAAUCGCUAGUAAUCGUGGAUCAGCAUGCCACGGUGAAUACGUUCCCGGGCCUUGCACACACCGCCCGUCAAG
rnacentral:rRNA from 1 species